rnacentral:rRNA from 1 species
UACGUAGGGUCCGAGCGUUGUCCGGAAUUACUGGGCGUAAAGAGCUCGUAGGUGGUUUGUCACGUCUGCUGUGAAAUCCCGAGGCUCAACCUCGGGCCUGCAGUGGGUACGGGCAGACUGGAGUGCGGUAGGGGAGAUCGGAAUUCCUGGUGUAGCGGUGAAAUGCGCAGAUAUCAGGAGGAACACCGGUGGCGAAGGCGGAUCUCUGGGCCUUACCUGACGCUGAGGAGCGAAAGCGUGGGUAGCGAACAGG